GAUGAACGCUGGCGGUAUGCUUAACACAUGCAAGUCGAACGGUCACUUCGGUGAUAGUGGCGGACGGGUGAGUAACGCGUGAGAAUCUGUCUUCAGGUCGGGGACAACAGUUAGAAAUGACUGCUAAUGCCGGAUGUGCCUUUGGGUGAAAGAUUUAUUGACUGAAAAAGAGCUCGCGUCAGAUUAGCUAGUAGGUGUUGUAAGAGACUACCUAGGCUCCGAUCUGUAGCUGGUCUGAGAGGACGAUCAGCCACACUGGAACUGAGACACGGUCCAGACUCCUACGGGAGGCAGCAGUGGGGAAUUGUCCGCAAUGGGCGAAAGCCUGACGGAGCAAUACCGCGUGAGGGACGAAGGUUUUUGGGUCGUAAACCUCUUUUCUCAAGGAAGAUGAUGACGGUACUUGAGGAAUAAGCAUCGGCUAACUCUGUG
rnacentral:rRNA from 1 species